rnacentral:lncRNA from 1 species
AGGACACCUGGAUGGCCCAAUGCCCCCCCAGGGGUAGAGGGCAUCUUUUGAAUCUGCCAAUCACUCAACACCCUUCUGGAAUGCCAGGACUGACAGACAGUGCUGGGAGGGGAAAGGAGAGGUGACUGACACACCUGGCAGGGAAUUAUCAGAAGAGGGAACAGGUUCUGGGGUAAAUCCUGAAAUCACAACACAACAAUUCCUGACCUCCUCCCCUCCCGCAGCCUCGUCCGGAGAGCGGCGCUGCCCCGGAGAAGCCCCUUCCCUCCAUCGUGGAGGAUGAUGAGGAGCCCGACGAGGUUUUCCAGCAGCCGCCUGCCAGCAGCUCCCGCCGCAAGCUGCUGCUGCCGGCCCUGAGCAGCUCGGUGCGGCGCGGCUCCCUGAGCAGCCUGCUGGGCGAUGAGCUGUGCCCGGUGUCGGCCCUGCGGCACAGCUGCCCGGCCCCGGCCCGCGGCAGCCGCAGCCCCUCUCCGCAGUGCCGCAGAGACAGGGAGAGGGGCGCUGGCGUGGGCAGGAGGCCGGCCAAGCUGCUCAUCCCCUCCCUGCACUCGUACAACCCGCCCGACCUCAGCCCCAGGUAUGCGGGGAUGUGCGGGUGGGUUAUCCGUUCCAGCCAGGCUGCUCAGGGGUGGCACAGAGGGCGUCACACAAGAUGACCCUCAUCCCUUCCUGCUCUAGGGUCGUGGAUGGGAUUGAAGACAACGGAGGCACUUCAGAGGCACAAACCUUCUGCUUCAGCACAGAGCCACUGAGUGCGGCGAGGGACUCCCCCAGCUCAGCAGGGACUGACCCCGGCGGCCCAGCCCUGGCGAUGGAGGCAGAGCAGAUAAAGCAGAACAUCAGCAGGCUCAACCAGGAGGUGUGCUGGGGCCCACAGGUGGGUGCACGUCCCCAAAAACCCCGCGGGCACCGGCCGCUGCUCACUGCUGUGUGUCCUUUUCCAGAUCACCCACCUCAACCAGGAGGUUUCUCACCUCAGCCGGCAGCUGCAGAGCAUGAUGGAGCUGCUCAGGGCUCACCUGCCGGCCUGUCCCUGCCGCCUGCCCGCCGCCGUCCCGGUGCCCGCCUCGCCGCCGGUGCCGCCCAGCUCGCUCAGCUCGCCCAGCGGCAGCCCCCGGGCCAAGCGCUGCCCGGUCCGCAGCCGCUCUGCCCACGCCGCCGCCCUGCACCCCGGGCUGGGCACCGAGGGGCCGCGCCCGCCGCGGGGGGACGGCCCCGACCCCCGCCGGGGCUCGGACUCGCAGCCGCCGCCGCCGCCGCCGCUGCCGCCGCCGCGCUCCGCCCGCUCCUUCCCGGGCUGCUCGGCCGGCCCUUGGUGUCGCGCCCGCCCGCAGCCGCGCUCCGGUUCCACGAGCUCGCACUGAGCCCGCGGGCACCGGCGGGAGCCACACCGGGGCUCUGCGCUGCCGGUAACCCUGCCCGGGGGUCCGUGAUCCCGGGGGUUACCGGGGAUCUCCGCUCCGGGUGACCCUGCCCGGCGUCCGUGAUCCCGGGGGGCACCAGGGCUCUCCGCUCCGGGUGACACUGCCGGGGGUCCGUGAUCCCGGGGGUUACCGGGGGUCUCCGCUCCGGAUGACACUGCCCGGGUAUUACCGGGGCUCUCCGCUCCGGGUAUCCGUGUCCCCGGGGAUCACCGGGGGUCUCCGCUCCGGGUGAGCCUGCCCGGUGUGGGUGCCCCCGGAGCGCCCCGGGACGCCGCGCUCCGGACACACGCAGGGAUUUUGAUACGGUUUUAUACUCUUGGCCCUCGGGGCCUUUUAUGCAGCCCCGCUCGGGUCUCUCGGGGCUGUGGGACGUGGCGGGGCAGUGUACAGAUCUCCGGUGCGGUCUCCGGUUUGCCCGGGGGUCACGGCCGCUGCCGCCCCUCCGCGGCUGUAGUUCGCGUUGUUCCGCCCCGCCUCUCCCACGCUCCCCGCAACACCGAGAAAUAAAGGCUUUAUUUUUCCAGCUCCGGCUCCGCUC